ACAAAGGCCAUUUUCUUUCUGGCCAUUCAGGGAGAGGGGUGUUCCAGUUUCAGGAAUAGAAUUAGGGGAGCAAGCUGGUGUUCACCGCACCCUCCAGUGAUCUCUGAUGAUAUGCGGGGAUAAUGGGUUACAAAGACAGACAUUAAUAAGCUACUUGUGCAAGAAGCUACAAUGAGAAAAAAAAUAGCAAGAAAUAGAUGAGGGAAGGAGGUUCUGUAGAGGGAAAAACAAAGAGAGAAAAGGAGAAUGAAUUGUGCUGAGAAAGAGAUGCCUGGAUGAAGAAGCUGGCCCUAGCACCCAUAAAGCUGGAAAGAAAGUGGGGCCUUGGAAACUUCUGGAAGGAUGCGAGGAAAGAAAAAUGCAAGGAAAUGAGAUGGAGAGGAGAAAGAGAAACCAGGAAGCACUUCGGAAGCAUGUAAAUUACAAGGAAAUGAGGAACAGCCUUUAUUGAAACAGUCUGUGAAGUCUGUGCUAGCGCUGAGAGCUUCAUUUUACUGUCCUGGCAAGGAGGUGUGGCCCCUCUCCAGUGCCCAGCACCUCAUCGCUGUGGUAACAGAAGACACGCUUAUCUUCCGGAUUUUGCCUCAGAGACUUGG
rnacentral:lncRNA from 1 species